AAUCAACGCUGGCGGCGUGCCUCAGACAUGCAAGUCGAACGAUUAAAGCUCUCUUCGGAGAGUGUAUAGAGUGGCGCACGGGUGAGUAACACGUAAGUAAUCUACCUUCGAGUGGGGAAUAACGUCCGGAAACGGACGCUAAUACCGCAUAAUGCAGCGGCAUCGCAAGAUGACAGUUGUUAAAGAUUUAUCGCUUGAAGAGGAGCUUGCGGCAGAUUAGCUAGUUGGUAAGGUAAUGGCUUACCAAGGCUACGAUCUGUAACCGGUCUAAGAGGACGGUCGGUCACACUGACACUGAAUAACGGGUCAGACUCCUACGGGAGGCAGCAGUCGGGAAUUUUGGGCAAUGGGCGAAAGCCUGACCCAGCAACGCCGCGUGAAGGAUGAAGUAUUUCGGUAUGUAAACUUCGAAAGAAUAGGAAGAAUAAAUGACGGUACUAUUUAUAAGGUCCGGCUAACUACGUGCCAGCCGCCGCCGUAA
rnacentral:rRNA from 1 species